UGCGUAGGCGGAAGAAUAAGUCAGUGGUGAAAUCCUGUGGCUCAACCACAGAACUGCCGUUGAUACUGUUAUUCUUGAAUAUAGUUGAGGUAGGCGGAAUGUGUAAUGUAGCGGUGAAAUGCUUAGAUAUUACACAGAACACCGAUUGCGAAGGCAGCUUGCUAAACUAUUAUUGACGCUGAGGCACGAAAGCGUGGGGAGCGAACAGGAUUAGAUACCCUGGUAGUC
rnacentral:rRNA from 1 species